rnacentral:pre_miRNA from 1 species
GAGACAGCCUUAUGGGGCAGGACUUGCUUCAGUGGGGCUUUGGUGCUCACUGAGUCUGCCCCUUGAGUGUGUCGCU